ACAAAACAUGGACGUCAUCCUCAUGAAACAAGGCCUCUUCACACUGUCGGUGUUUCUACUGUGGACGACAGGUGAUGGAAGUGACGUUACCCAGACCUCCAUCAUAUGGAAAAAUAAAGGUGAAGAUGCAACAAUCGACUGCAGCCAAACCAAAGGCGUUUCCUAUAUCCAGAUGUACUGGUACAGACAGCUGCCAGGAGACACUCUGGAGCUCGUCGUCUUCUCAACACUCUUGAACAAUGACUUUGGAGGUUUCAGCAACAAGAAAUUCUCAGCCAACAAGACUGCUGCUGAGAGCGGGUCGCUCACAGUGAAGAACCUGCAUGAAGGAGAUCAAGGCUGGUACUUCUGUGCCGUUGGUGCACAGUGAUACAGAAGCUGUGAAAGCUGAACAAAAACCCAAACACACCGUCGUCGUCANU